UACAGAGGGGGCUAGCGUUGUUCGGAAUUACUGGGCGUAAAGCGCACGUAGGCGGCUUUGUAAGUUAGAGGUGAAAGCCUGAUGCUCAACAUCAGAAUUGCCUUUAAGACUGCACCGCUUGAACGUCGGAGAGGUAAGUGGAAUUCCGAGUGUAGAGGUGAAAUUCGUAGAUAUUCGGAAGAACACCAGUGGCGAAGGCGGCUUACUGGACGACUGUUGACGCUGAGGUGCGAAAGCGUGGGGAGCAAACAGG
rnacentral:rRNA from 1 species